GGACUGUUGGCGCAGCGGUAGCGCGUCUGAUUCCAGACUUGGAAAUACCAGAAGGUCAUCCGUUCAAAUCGGGUACGGUUCA
rnacentral:tRNA from 1 species